rnacentral:rRNA from 1 species
CGCUGGCGGCGCGCCUAACACAUGCAAGUCGAACGGAGCUUAGAGAGCUUGCUUUUUAAGCUAGUGGCGAACGGGUGAGUAACGCGUGAGUAACCUGGCCCCUAGAGUGGGGGACAACAGUUGGAAACGACUGCUAAUACCGCAUAAGCCCACGGUACCGCAUGGCACUGAGGGAAAAGGAUUUAUUCGCUUUAGGAUGGACUCGCGUCCAAUUAGCUAGUUGGUGAGGUUAAACGGGCCCACCAAGGCGACGAUCAGUAGCCGGUCUGAGAGGGUGAACGGCCACAUUGGGACUGAGACACGGCCCAAACUCCUACGGGAGGCAGCAGUGGGGAAUAUUGCACAAUGGGGGAAACCCUGAUGCAGCGACGCCGCGUGAGUGAUGAAGUAUUUCGGUAUGUAAAACUCUAUCAGCAGGGAAGAUAAUGACGGUACCUGACUAAGAAGCACCGGCUAAAUACGUG